rnacentral:rRNA from 1 species
UAAUACGAAGGGUGCUAGCGUUGUUCGGAAUUACUGGGCGUAAAGGGCGUGUAGGCUGUGAUACAAGAUAGGGGUGAAAUCCCGAGGCUCAACCUCGGAACUGCCUUUAUAACUGUAUUGCUAGAGUUCGAGAGAGGGUGGCGGAAUAUCCAGUGUAGAGGUGAAAUUCGUAGAUAUUGGAUAGAACACCGGUGGCGAAGGCGGCCACCUGGCUCGAUACUGACGCUGAGGCGCGAAAGCGUGGGGAGCGAACGGGAUUAGAUACCCCGGUAGUCCACGCUGUAAACGAUGAGUGCUAGUUGUUGGGUAUUACGGUAUUCAGUGACGCAGCUAACGCGAUAAGCACUCCGCCUGGGGACUACGGUCGCAAGACUA